AAGACUAUAGACCUGCGGAGUACCUGCGGAAGGAUCAUUAACGUAUCUAUGAUGGGGUGCGGAGCGCCCUGCUCCGGUCGAACGGCCGUGCAGCGGGUGCGUCGCCCCCGUCCCACCUCACAAACCCACUGUGAACAUUCACCGGUGGAGGGGGCUCGGUCUGCGCCGUGUCCCCGAUGCCGAAUACCCAAACUCCAGUUGCAAAGAACGUCGUGCGGACUCGGUGCCGCCUAAAACAUG
rnacentral:misc_RNA from 1 species